rnacentral:rRNA from 1 species
UACGUAGGGGGCAAGCGUUAUCCGGAUUUACUGGGUGUAAAGGGGGCGCAGACGGCGAUGCAAGCCAGGAGUGAAAGCCCGGGGCCCAACCCCGGGACUGCCCUUGGAACUGCGUGGCUGGAGUGCAGGAGGGGCAGGCGGAAUUCCUGGUGUAGCGGUAAAAUGCGUAGAUAUCAGGAGGAACACCGGUGGCGAAGGCGGCCUGCUGGACUGCAACUGACGUUGAGGCCCGAAAGCGUGGGGAGCAAACAGG